rnacentral:tRNA from 1 species
CAUCAAGAAGCUAAUUAGCGCUAACCUUUUAAGUUAGAGAUUGGAAGAAUCAAAUCUUCCCCUGAUGA